CGAUCCGCAUGGGUUGGAUCUCAAAGGAGCAAUCCGGUCUGGGAGCGGGCGAUUUCGUAUCAGCUAGUUGGCAGGGUAACGGCCUACCAAGGCGACGACGCGUAGCCGGACUGAGAGGUCGGCCGGCCACAUCGGGACUGAGACACUGCCCGGACUCCUACGGGGGGCUGCAGUAACGAAUCUUCCCCAAUGCACGAAAGUGUGAGGGAGCGACGCCGCGUGGAGGAUGAAGUCCUUCGGGAUAUAAACUCCUGUCAGGGGUUACCAAGUUCUGAGGAGCCCCAGAGGAAGAGGCGGCUAACUCUGUGCCAGCAGCCGCGGUAAGACAGAGGCCUCAAGCGUUAGGCGGAAUCACUGGGCUUAAAGCGUGUGUAGGCGGGUCGUUAAGUGCCUUGUGAAAUCCCACGGCUCAACCGUGGAACUGCUGGGCAUACUGGCGAUCUUGAGCUGUCUAGGGGCGACUGGAACAAACGGUGGAGCGGUGAAAUGCGUAGAUAUCGUUUGGAACGCCAAUGGUGAAAACAGGUCGCUGGGGACAUGCUGACGCUGAGACACGAAAGCCAGGGGAGCAAACGGGAUUAGAUACCCCGGUAGUCCUGGCCCUAAACGAUGUCGACUAGAUCGUGGUGCUUUGACGGCUUCACGGUCGAAGCAAAAGUGCUAAGUCGACCGCCUGGGAAGUACGGUCGCAAGGCUAAAACUUAAAGGAAUUGACGGAAUCGA
rnacentral:rRNA from 1 species